AUGACAUGGUGUGGACACUUCCUUAGCAAUUCAUUGAAACGUUCCCAUGCCUCAUGGAAUGUCUCCCCAUCCCCAUGUGUAAAUUCUCGAAUUGAGGUCCUCAUGGC